UCUAAUAUGGCAGAAAUUAUGCAAUGAAUUUAAGCUUCAUUUAUAAAGUUUUUUACUUUUAUUAGAA
rnacentral:tRNA from 1 species